rnacentral:tRNA from 1 species
GCCCUUGUAGCGCAAUGGAUAGCGCGUUGGACUUCAAACCCAAAGGUCGUCGGUUCGAAUCCUACCUGGGAUG